rnacentral:rRNA from 2 species
UGGGGAAUCUUGGACAAUGGGCGCAAGCCUGAUCCAGCCAUGCCGCGUGGAUGAUGAAGGCCCUAGGGUUGUAAAAUCCUUUCGUCAGGGACGAUAAUGACGGUACCUGAAGAAGAAGCCCCGGCUAACUUCGUGCCAGCAGCCGCGGUAAUACGAAGGGGGCUAGCGUUGUUCGGAAUUACUGGGCGUAAAGCGCAUGUAGGCGGGUCGUUAAGUCGGGGGUGAAAGCCCAGAGCUCAACUCUGGAACUGCCUUCGAUACUGGCGACCUGGACCCAAGGAGAGGCGAGUGGAAUUGCGAGUGUAGAGGUGAAAUUCGUAGAUAUUCGCAGGAACACCAGUGGCGAAGGCGACUCGCUGGACUUGUGGUGACGCUGAGAUGCGAAAGCGUGGGGAGCAAACAGG